UCCCGGUGGCUCAGAUGGUAAAGAAUCUGCCUGACAUGCAGGAGACCCAGGUUCGAUCCCUGGGUCUGGAA
rnacentral:tRNA from 1 species